AGUCGGACGGUUCUAGGGUUAGAGGCUGGAGGCUAGGAUACUAGCUUGCAGUCUCUAACCCUAGAACAGUGGCGAACGGGUGAGUAACGCGUGAGUAACCUACCCCCAAGAUGGGGAUAACAUUCCGAAAGGGAUGCUAAUACCCGAUGCGGUUAUAAGGCUGAGAUGCCUUAUAACUAAAGGGAAGCGGAAGCGACCGCUUGGGGAUGGGCUUGCGUCCCAUCAGCUAGUUGGUAGGGUAAUGGCCUACCAAGGCUAAGACGGGUAGCUGGGCCUGAGAGGGUGGUCAGCCACACUGGGACUGAGACACGGCCCAGACUCCUACGGGA
rnacentral:rRNA from 1 species